rnacentral:rRNA from 1 species
AAUGAACGAGAGUUUGACACAGCGACACCGCGUGUGGGAUGACGGAUCUAGGUUUGUAAACCACUUUCAGGAGGGAAGAAAAUGACGGUACCUCCACAAGAAGCCCCGGCCAACUACGUGCCAGCAGCCGCGGUAAUACGGAGGGGGCAAGCGUUGUUCGGAAUUACUGGGCGUAAAGCGCACGUAGGCGGACUGAUCAGUUGGGGGUGAAAUCCCGAGGCUUAACCUCGGAACUGCCUUCAAUACUGUCAGUCUUGAGAUCGGAAGAGGUGAGUGGAAUUCCUAGUGUAGAGGUGAAAUUCGUAGAUAUUAGGAAGAACACCAGUGGCGAAGGCGGCUCACUGGUCCGAUACUGACGCUGAGGUGCGAAAGCGUGGGGAGCGAACAGGAUU